UGCCCUCACCAGAGAGGACCUUUGCUCCCUUAAAUGCUCCAGGCAGACGGGCAGCUCAGAGCACAGAGGCGCUGCCUCUUGCAGGCCCCAUCUCAGACUUGGAGCCUGUCCAAGUCCCCUCCCAGGACUACAGACCCCAGAGCGCCUCACCACCUCCUCCUGCAAUGGAACCUGGGAGGACCGCCAGCCAGGUUGGCUCAAGCUGAGAGACCCCUGCAGAGUAGGGCUGUAGCCCCCUGGUCCCAUGGUAGAUAGCGUAAGACCCUGCAGACAUCAGAGGUCAUGGCUGAAGGUGCCAGAUUUCCUGCCCUGCAGGGCAUUAGGCAUGGCUGCCAGUCCCAGGCUGAGGUAGAGGGCCCAGCUGUCACCUGGCUGGAGAGCCAGGGCCCAGCUUAUCCCAGCUGCACGGACUGGGGACGGAGCGAGUCAUCUACAGGACUAGCUGGAGGCUGUGUGACUCUCUGGA
rnacentral:lncRNA from 1 species